GGGAGUGAGAGGAUUAGGAAGCUGGUGCCCGCUCGCGACUCCCGCACUGACAGCCCGGCAGCGCGGGUGCCCGUGACCCGAGGCGACUCAGCCUGACCUUUGACCUCAGGGACGCACCUGUGCGGGACAGAGAGUUGUGAACAGUUGAGUUUUCCAGAGGCUGUGUGACUUGUGGUUUGCAAAACACUGAAGGCAGAACAGCUGUCUUCUAUUAAAGCCGGACUUGAAAGAGAUUUGCAAAAAUGUAAAACAGUGCCAUUCUCACUAAAUUCUUUUGUUUUGGAAACGUAUUUUUUUCACAAAAAGAUACCAUGUUAUUGUGUAUGUUAUUAUGUAA